CCCUUAGAUGUCCUGGGCCGCACGCGCGCUACACUGAGUGUCUGAGAUACGAGUCUGCCUGGUCCGGCAAGGUCUAGGUAAUCGCUAAAAGACACAUCAUGCUUGGGAUAGAUUAUUGCAAAUAUUAAUCUUGAACGAGGAAUUCCUAGUAAGCGCAAGUCAACAGCUUGCGUUGAUUACGUCCCUGCCCUUUGUACACACCGCCCGUCGCUACUACUGAUUGGAUGUUUAAGCGAGGUUCUCGAACUGCUAGCGACUUAGCUUCGGUGAGGUCGCAGUGGGGGAAGUGAACCGAGCUUUGGUGUCUAGAGGAAGUAAAAGUCGUAACA
rnacentral:rRNA from 1 species